rnacentral:rRNA from 1 species
GACGAACGCUGGCGGCGCGCCUAACACAUGCAAGUCGAACGGAGCUGAGAGAAGCUUGCUUUUCUUAGCUUAGUGGCGAACGGGUGAGUAACGCGUGAGUAACCUGCCCUGGAGUGGGGGACAACAGUUGGAAACGAUUGCUAAUACCGCAUAAGCCCACGAUCCGGCAUCGGAUUGAGGGAAAAGGAUUUAUUCGCUUCAGGAUGGACUCGCGUCCAAUUAGCUAGUUGGUGAGGUAACGGCCCACCAAGGCGACGAUUGGUAGCCGGACUGAGAGGUUGAACGGCCACAUUGGGACUGAGACACGGCCCAGACUCCUACGGGAGGCAGCAGUGGGGGAUAUUGCACAAUGGGGGAAACCCUGAUGCAGCGACGCCGCGUGGAGGAAGAAGGUUUUCGGAUUGUAAACUCCUGUCGUUAGGGACGAUAAUGACGGUACCUAACAAGAAAGCACCGGCUAACUACGUG